GAUGAACGCUGGCGGCGUGCCUAAUACAUGCAAGUCGAGCGAACGGACGAGAAGCUUGCUUCUCUGAUGUUAGCGGCGGACGGGUGAGUAACACGUGGAUAACCUACCUAUAAGACUGGGAUAACUUCGGGAAACCGGAGCUAAUACCGGAUAAUAUUUUGAACCGCAUGGUUCAAAAGUGAAAGACGGUCUUUCUGUCACUUAUAGAUGGAUCCGCGGUGCAUUAGCUAGUUGGUAAGGUAACGGCUUACCAAGGCAACGAUGCAUAGCCGACCUGAGAGGGUGAUCGGCCACACUGGAACUGAGACACGGUCCAGACUCCUACGGGAGGCAGCAGUAGGGAAUCGUCCGCAAUGGGCGAAAGCCUGACGGAGCAACGCCGCGUGAGUGAUGAAGGUCUUCGGAUCGUAAAACUCUGUUAUUAGGGAAGAACAUAUGUGUAAGUAACUGUGCACAUCUUGACGGUACCUAAUCAGAAAGCCACGGCUAACUACGUG
rnacentral:rRNA from 1 species